UCCCUCAUGGUCCAAUGGCUAAGACUCUGCACUCCAAAUCCAAGGGGCCCAGGUUCGACCCCUGGUCAGGAAA
rnacentral:tRNA from 1 species